rnacentral:tRNA from 3 species
GGGGCUAUCAACCACUCAGCCAUCUCUCC